rnacentral:lncRNA from 1 species
GGAAGAUUCAGGUUCAAGCUCCUCUUGACCUCAGACUCUUGAAUGUGAAUAAAAUUCCUGGAUCUGAUGCUGGCUCUCUUACUCACUGUGUUGGGAGCUGGUGGUCCAGAGAAAGACUGACACACCAGACAGAAGCCUACUCUGUCUCGCUGUCCCAGAUGCCACGAUUUUCAAUCCUCUGAAGAUUUUCUCAGCAUCCAAGAGCCAGCAUGCCAGGACACUUG